rnacentral:rRNA from 1 species
GGUUAAGCGACUAAGCGUACACGGUGGAUGCCCCGGCAGUCAGAGGCGAUGAAGGGCGUGCUAAUCUGCGAUAAGCGCCGGUAAGGUGAUAUGAACCGUUAUAACCGGCGAUACCCGAAUGGGGAAACCCAGUGUGAUUCGUCACACUAUCAUUAACUGAAUCCAUAGGUUAAUGAGGCGAACCGGGGGAACUGAAACAUCUAAGUACCCCGAGGAAAAGAAAUCAACCGAGAUUCCCCCAGUAGCGGCGAGCGAACGGGGAGGAGCCCAGAGCCUGAAUCAGCAUGUGUGUUAGUGGAAGCGUCUGGAAAGGCGCGCGAUACAGGGUGACAGCCCCGUACACAAAAGCGCAUGUGCUGUGAGCUCGAUGAGUAGGGCGGGACACGUGGUAUCCUGUCUGAAUAUGGGGGGACCAUCCUCCAAGGCUAAAUACUCCUGACUGACCGAUAGUGAACCAGUACCGUGAGGGAAAGGCGAAAAGAACCCCGGCGAGGGGAGUGAAAAAGAACCUGAAACCGUGUACGUACAAGCAGUGGGAGCACCCUUCGGGGUGUGACUGCGUACCUUUUGUAUAAUGGGUCAGCGACUUAUAUUCUGUAGCAAGGUUAACCGUAUAGGGGAGCCGGAGGGAAACCGAGUCUUAACCGGGCGUUAAGUUGCAGGGUAUAGACCCGAAACCCGGUGAUCUAGCCAUGGGCAGGUUGAAGGUUGGGUAACACUAACUGGAGGACCGAACCGACUAAUGUUGAAAAAUUAGCGGAUGACCUGUGGCUGGGGGUGAAAGGCCAAUCAAACCGGGAGAUAGCUGGUUCUCCCCGAAAGCUAUUUAGGUAGCGCCUCGUGAAUUCAUCUCCGGGGGUAGAGCACUGUUUCGGCUAGGGGGCCAUCCCGGCUUACCAACCCGAUGCAAACUGCGAAUACCGGAGAAUGUUAUCACGGGAGACACACGGCGGGUGCUAACGUCCGUCGUGAAGAGGGAAACAACCCAGACCGCCAGCUAAGGUCCCAAAGUCAUGGUUAAGUGGGAAACGAUGUGGGAAGGCCCAGACAGCCGGGAUGUUGGCUUAGAAGCAGCCAUCAUUUAAAGAAAGCGUAAUAGCUCACUGGUCGAGUCGGCCUGCGCGGAAGAUGUAACGGGGCUAAACCAUGCACCGAAGCUGCGGCAGCGAACGUAUCACCCAAGACAACUUUACGGAGUUGACGAUUGACGGAGCGAAGCGACGUCAAAGCGUUCAUUAAAGUCGAGUUGGCUUAGGGAUACGUUCGUUGGGUAGGGGAGCGUUCUGUAAGCCUGUGAAGGUGUGUCGUGAGGCAUGCUGGAGGUAUCAGAAGUGCGAAUGCUGACAUAAGUAACGAUAAAGCGGGUGAAAAGCCCGCUCGCCGGAAGACCAAGGGUUCCUGUCCAACGUUAAUCGGGGCAGGGUGAGUCGACCCCUAAGGCGAGGCCGAAAGGCGUAGUCGAUGGGAAACGGGUUAAUAUUCCCGUACUUGGUGUUACUGCGAAGGGGGGACGGAGAAGGCUAUGUUGGCCGGGCGACGGUUGUCCCGGUUUAAGCGUGUAGGUGUGUGUUCCGGUAAAUCCGGUUCACUUUAACACUGAGGCGUGACGACGAGGCACUACGGUGCUGAAGCAACAAAUGCCCUGCUUCCGGGAAAAGCCUCUAAGCAUCAGGUAACAUCAAAUCGUACCCCAAACCGACACAGGUGGUCAGGUAGAGAAUACCAAGGCGCUUGAGAGAACUCGGGUGAAGGAACUAGGCAAAAUGGUGCCGUAACUUCGGGAGAAGGCACGCUGACACGUAGGUGAAGUGAUUUACUCAUGGAGCUGAAGUCAGUCGAAGAUACCAGCUGGCUGCAACUGUUUAUUAAAAACACAGCACUGUGCAAACACGAAAGUGGACGUAUACGGUGUGACGCCUGCCCGGUGCCGGAAGGUUAAUUGAUGGGGUCAGCGCAAGCGAAGCUCCUGAUCGAAGCCCCGGUAAACGGCGGCCGUAACUAUAACGGUCCUAAGGUAGCGAAAUUCCUUGUCGGGUAAGUUCCGACCUGCACGAAUGGCGUAAUGAUGGCCGGGCUGUCUCCACCCGAGACUCAGUGAAAUUGAACUCGCUGUGAAGAUGCAGUGUACCCGCGGCAAGACGGAAAGACCCCGUGAACCUUUACUAUAGCUUGACACUGAACAUUGAGCCUUGAUGUGUAGGAUAGGUGGGAGGCUUUGAAGUGUGGACGCCAGUCUGCAUGGAGCCGACCUUGAAAUACCACCCUUUAAUGUUUGAUGUUCUAACGUGGACCCGUAAUCCGGGUUGCGGACAGUGUCUGGUGGGUAGUUUGACUGGGGCGGUCUCCUCCUAAAGAGUAACGGAGGAGCACGAAGGUUGGCUAAUCCUCGGUCGGACAUCAGGAGGUUAGUGCAAUGGCAUAAGCCAGCUUGACUGCGAGCGUGACGGCGCGAGCAGGUGCGAAAGCAGGUCAUAGUGAUCCGGUGGUUCUGAAUGGAAGGGCCAUCGCUCAACGGAUAAAAGGUACUCCGGGGAUAACAGGCUGAUACCGCCCAAGAGUUCAUAUCGACGGCGGUGUUUGGCACCUCGAUGUCGGCUCAUCACAUCCUGGGGCUGAAGUAGGUCCCAAGGGUAUGGCUGUUCGCCAUUUAAAGUGGUACGCGAGCUGGGUUUAGAACGUCGUGAGACAGUUCGGUCCCUAUCUGCCGUGGGCGCUGGAGAACUGAGGGGGCUGCUCCUAGUACGAGAGGACCGGAGUGGACGCAUCACUGGUGUUCGGGUUGUCAUGCCAAUGGCACUGCCCGGUAGCUAAAUGCGGAAGAGAUAAGUGCUGAAAGCAUCUAAGCACGAAACUUGCCCCGAGAUGAGUUCUCCCUGAGACUUAGAGUCUCCUGAAGGAACGUUGAAGACGACGACGUUGAUAGGCCGGGUGUGUAAGCGCAGCGAUGCGUUGAGCUAACCGGUACUAAUGAACCGUGAGGCUUAACCUU